UCCUGGCUCAGGAUGAACGCUGGCGGCGUGCCUAAUACAUGCAAGUCGAGCGAACGGACGAGAAGCUUGCUUCUCUGAUGUUAGCGGCGGACGGGUGAGUAACACGUGGAUAACCUACCUAUAAGACUGGGAUAACUUCGGGAAACCGGAGCUAAUACCGGAUAAUAUUUUGAACCGCAUGGUUCAAAAGUGAAAGACGGUCUUGCUGUCACUUAUAGAUGGAUCCGCGCUGCAUUAGCUAGUUGGUAAGGUAACGGCUUACCAAGGCAACGAUGCAUAGCCGACCUGAGAGGGUGAUCGGCCACACUGGAACUGAGACACGGUCCAGACUCCUACGGGAGGCAGCAGUAGGGAAUCUUCCGCAAUGGGCGAAAGCCUGACGGAGCAACGCCGCGUGAGUGAUGAAGGUCUUCGGAUCGUAAAACUCUGUUAUUAGGGAAGAACAUAUGUGUAAGUAACUGUGCACAUCUUGACGGUACCUAAUCAGAAAGCCACGGCUAACUACGUGCCAGCAGCCGCGGUAAUACGUAGGUGGCAAGCGUUAUCCGGAAUUAUUGGGCGUAAAGCGCGCGUAGGCGGUUUUUUAAGUCUGAUGUGAAAGCCCACGGCUCAACCGUGGAGGGUCAUUGGAAACUGGAAAACUUGAGUGCAGAAGAGGAAAGUGGAAUUCCAUGUGUAGCGGUGAAAUGCGCAGAGAUAUGGAGGAACACCAGUGGCGAAGGCGACUUUCUGGUCUGUAACUGACGCUGAUGUGCGAAAGCGUGGGGAUCAAACAGGAUUAGAUACCCUGGUAGUCCACGCCGUAAACGAUGAGUGCUAAGUGUUAGGGGGUUUCCGCCCCUUAGUGCUGCAGCUAACGCAUUAAGCACUCCGCCUGGGGAGUACGACCGCAAGGUUGAAACUCAAAGGAAUUGACGGGGACCCGCACAAGCGGUGGAGCAUGUGGUUUAAUUCGAAGCAACGCGAAGAACCUUA
rnacentral:rRNA from 1 species